rnacentral:tRNA from 1 species
GCGCCCGUAGCUCAGUUGGAUUAGAGUACCAGGCUUCGAACCUGGGUGUCGGGGGUUCGAGUCCCUCCGGGCGUGCCA